CAGAGGUGGCAAGCGUUGUUCGGAAUUACUGGGCGUAAAGGGCGCGUAGGUGGUCUUGUCAGUCAGACGUGAAAUCCCCAGGCUUAACCUGGGAACUGCGUCUGAUACUACGAGACUUGAGUUCGGGAGAGGGAUGUGGAAUUCCAGGUGUAGCGGUGAAAUGCGUAGAUAUCUGGAGGAACACCGGUGGCGAAGGCGGCAUCCUGGACCGAAACUGACACUGAUGCGCGAAAGCCAGGGGAGCAAACGGGAUUAGAUACCCCGGUAGUCCUGGCCCUAAACGAUGAGUGCUUGGUGUGGCGGGUAUCGAUCCCUGCCGUGCCGAAGCUAACGCAUUAAGCACUCCGCCUGGGGAGUACGGUCGCAAGGCUG
rnacentral:rRNA from 1 species